rnacentral:rRNA from 1 species
GAUGAACGCUAGCGGCAGGCUUAACACAUGCAAGUCGAGGGGCAGCAUAAUGAAGUAGUAAUACGGAAUUGAUGGCGACCGGCGCACGGGUGCGUAACGCGUAUGCAACCUACCCAUAACAGGGGGAUAACACUGAGAAAUUGGUACUAAUACCCCAUAACAGUUUUAGAGGCAUCUUUAAGAUUUGAAAGUUCAGGCGGUUAUGGAUGGGCAUGCGUUGUAUUAGCUAGAUGGUGAGGUAACGGCUCACCAUGGCGACGAUACAUUGGGGGACUGAUAGGUUAACCCCCCACACUGGUACUGCGACGCGGACCAGAGUCCUACGGGAGGCAGCAGUGAGGAAUAUUGGUCAAUGGACGCAAGUCUGAACCAGCCAUGCCGCGUGCAGGAAGACGGCUCUAUGAGUUGUAAACUGCUUUUGUACAAGGGUAAACCCUGGGACGUGUCCCAGGCUGAAAGUACUGUACGAAUAAGGAUCGGCUAACUCCGUGCCAGCCGCCGCCGUAACAC